GAUUGAGUUGGCAUACCUUCCAGG
rnacentral:piRNA from 1 species